rfam:Aedes albopictus isolate Foshan contig28657, whole genome shotgun sequence.
UGUUCUGUAGCUUAGUUGGUUAAAGCGCCGGUCUAGCGAAUACGGAGUCGUGGGUUCGAACCCCACCAGAACGC